rnacentral:rRNA from 1 species
GACGUAGGGCGCGAGCGUUGUCCGGAUUUAUUGGGCGUAAAGAGCUCGUAGGCGGCUUGUUACGUCGUUCGUGAAAUCUCAGGGCUCAACUCUGAGCUUGCGGGCGAUACGGGCAGGCUAGAGUUCGGUAGGGGAGACUGGAAUUCCUGGUGUAGCGGUGAAAUGCGCAGAUAUCAGGAGGAACACCGGUGGCGAAGGCGGGUCUCUGGGCCGAUACUGACGCUGAGGAGCGAAAGCGUGGGGAGCGAACAGG